CCAAUAGCGUAUAUUAAAGUUGUUGCAGUUAAAAAGCUCGUAGUUGAAUUUCGGGAUCAAUAUGUUGGUCGUGCCUCGGUACGUACUAGCUUAUUGGUUUCUCCUUUCUGAAGAACCAUGAUGUCAUUCAUUUGGUGUCGUGGGGAAUCAGGACUGUUACUUUGAAAAAAUUAGAGUGUUUAAAGCAGGCUCACGCUUGAAUACAUUAGCAUGGAAUAAUGAAAUAGGACGUUUGAUUCUAUUUUGUUGGUUUCUAGGAUCGACGUAAUGAUUAAUAGGGAUAGUUGGGGGCAUUAGUAUUCAAUUGUCAGAGGUGAAAUUCUUGGAUUUAUUGAAGACUAACUACUGCGAAAGCAUUUGCCAAGGAUGUUUUCAUUAAUCAAGAACGAAGGUUAGGGGAUCGAAGACGAUCAGAUACCGUCGUAGUCUUAACCAUAAACUAUGCCGACUAGGGAUCGGAUGAUGUUAAUUUUUUAAUGACUCAUUCGGCGCCUUAC
rnacentral:rRNA from 1 species